AAAGAAAAGGUUUAAAGAGUACCCUUGAGUGAAGGAAGGAUAUAUCACCUAUGUCAUCUUCUACAGAAGGGAAAAAAAUAUAUCUGUUAUCACAGUCACCUCCUACUUGACUUCCUUGAUGACACUGCUUCCUGUUUCUCUCUCUUAUAUCCAAAUAUUUCUGCAGUACCUAAAAACAUUCUUCUUACAAAUAUGUUGACAUGAUUCAGUCUUUGUCUCAUCAACCCUCUGCCAAACUUCUGAUCUCCUUAUUUAAAUGUCUUCCCUACUUUCUCUCACCUGUUGAUUUAUUAUUUUCUUUUCUUGUAUUCCUCCUCUAUUAUUGAUGAUAAAUUCUAAAGCUGAUCUACAUUUAGCCAUUUCUCAGCUGUUUUCAGGUUUUCAUCCAUGCUGAUAAUUCUUUACAAGACCUUCCACUCGACAUAAUUACUUUUAUUACUGCUGAUCUUUCAAAUUACUUCCCAAAUGAGCUUUUUCCAAACUACCUCCAGGACACUAAGGAAUACCUACUGAACAGCACAUGUUGCUUUUCUUCUUGCCUAGCUAUGAUACAGAUUGAUGUCAUCUGUUAGCCAGCUAACCCAAAAGCCUGCCCUACAAUAGGCUACAGACUAGUAGUUUUGAGGUUCACAAAAUAGAAAUUAAAGCCCCUCCAGUAGGUUUUUCAAGAUUUUUGAGACCUGAGCCAAGGCUAGAGACAAUCUCGCUCCUUUUCUCAAUUGACUAGUGAGCAAGCUCCUGCCAUGGUCAUGUUGAAGCUUAGUUGAUGUCUCCCAGAGCUUUUGAGAUAUGCUCGGUGUACUGCAAAAAUAAGGUAUUAAAUAAAGAGAUUCAUCACUACAUCAAACUUUAGCUGAAUUAUGAGGAAAGGCAGAGGCAACAACUGAACUUACGAGGCACCAUUUUCUGUCAAUGUAUGUUAUUCAAUCUCGCAUUUCACUUGUGUCAGAAACACAAGCAGAGAAAUACCCAAUUUUCUGAAUCCUGAGAAGGCUCAACGAUUAGCUUACAACCCAGAAAGUUGUCACAUGGCCGUUUACAAAAGUGAAAAUGCUUGAAGAUUCUCAAUACUCCUCUGUCACGCAGGAAGAGCUUUGUAGAAAGUACUUCUUUUACUGGAUUAUCAUCUACUUUCAUUAACACCAAAGAUAUGGUCUAUGUGGGGAACAUCCGUUAAUGGUUCAACGUUCAUGAAAACUCAUCACAUCGGUAGAAUUGGAUAGGAAAAGCAAAAGUGAUAAUGAUCUCAGAGAAGACAAAGUGAGGAUUGGAGGCAGAAAGAACACAAGAAUUUGGAGCAGGUACUCUGAGAAAGAAAACUAAAUACUGAAGGCAAAAAUUCUCAUACUGUGUGACAUAAUCAAUUCCUCUAGUUUAAAUGAGAACCUUACUCCAACUCAUUGUUUGUAUAACUAUAAUGAGAACUUCUACUCUUUGUUUCUACAUCUACAAAUGAUCAUACAAUUAUUGAGUU
rnacentral:lncRNA from 7 species